AGUGAACGCUGGCGGUAGGCCUAACACAUGCAAGUCGAACGGCAGCACAGUAAGAGCUUGCUCUUACGGGUGGCGAGUGGCGGACGGGUGAGGAAUACAUCGGAAUCUACUUUUUCGUGGGGGAUAACGUAGGGAAACUUACGCUAAUACCGCAUACGACCUACGGGUGAAAGCAGGGGAUCUUCGGACCUUGCGCGAUUGAAUGAGCCGAUGUCGGAUUAGCUAGUUGGCGGGGUAAAGGCCCACCAAGGCGACGAUCCGUAGCUGGUCUGAGAGGAUGAUCAGCCACAGUGGAAAUGAGAAACGGUCCAGGCUCCUACGGGAGGCAGCAGGGGGGAAUAUUGGACAAUGGGCGCAAGCCUGAUCCAGCCAUACCGCGUGGGUGAAGAAGGCCUUCGGGUGGUAAAGCCCUUUUGUUGGGAAAGAAAAGCAGCAGGUUAAUACCCCGCUGUUCUGACGGUACCCAAAGAAUAAGCACCGGCUAACUUCGUG
rnacentral:rRNA from 1 species